rnacentral:lncRNA from 1 species
CACGCACUCACUCACUCACUCACACACACACACACACACACACACACACACACACUCACACUCACACUCACACUCACACUACAGUAUCCCAUUUUCAAUAUAACCCUUUUCCUUAUCGCAUGUUUAUGCAUCACAAUGCUUUUCCCCUCUAUAAUUUGGUUUUGGAGGCUCAGGCAUUUCGGCAGCAGGUAGCUAGUAGGAUUAAAGGAAGAUGAAACCCCAUGCGGCGUGGUGAGUUGAGGGACAUUCCAAUCUCCUUGUGUCCAGACAGGGAUGAGCAGAGGUGUGCGUGCGGGGCUCAGGGUAAAGAGGGGAUUGGGUGUUAGUUGUAGCCCUCUGAACAGCCUCACCAGCUGCCACUGCCAAUGUGUGAGGGAGCGUACCACAUGCGUCUGGACCCUCCUUUUCUAUCCUUCCCACCCCCCUCUUUUUUGUUGUUGUUGAGGUGGGCCCACAUCCUCCAGUCCGUUGCAUGUAUGCAUGUAUUAGCUCUCUACCUUGAAGUGCAGACGAGCGACCUUCAGACGCUCUCCAGUAACCAUGGCAGCGCACGAAUAGCAGGGCAAAUUAGCAUUUGCGUUCGCUAGCGCGCCGUCUUCAACAAAGCCCAUCGAUUUUGUCUCUGGGAUUUAUUCAGAAGAGCCUGCAUUAGUGAGGCUUCUCUUCACUUAACUAAGAUGGGUUUUUAAAAUUAAUUCAGUUGCAAAGAGAUUGGGAGGGAUGAUCGGUUGAUGAAAGAGAGAGAAAGAAAGAGGGAGAGAGAGAGAGAGAGAGAGAAAGAUGAGAGAGAGAGGCAAACAGAAAUAAAUAGAGAAAGAGAGAAAGAGAGAAAUAGACAACUAGAGAAAGUCAGAAAGACAGAAAGAAAGAUUGAGAGAAGGGGACCUGUCCUCCGAGUUCUAUCUCUGUCUUGUUGUUUCAGGAGAACUUGAAGGGGCUUCAAUAGAAUAAGGUAUUUUGGUCUAUUGACUGGUAUUGUGGAGGGACCCAUUUAAUCCUUUAGAGGGUGUUGAAGCAUAAGAGAAGGCUGAUGACGGGGUCCAGAAGGGUGAUGACGGGGUCCAGAAGGGUGAUGACGGGGUCCAGAAGGGUGAUGACGGGGUCUAGAAGGGUGAUGACGGGGUCCAGAAGGGUGAUAACGGGCUCCAGAAGGGUGAUGACGGGGUCCAGAAGGGUGAUGACGGGGUCCAGAAGGGUGAUGACGGGGUCUAGAAGGGUGAUAACGGGCUCCAGAAGGGUGAUGACGGGCUCCAGAAGGGUGAUGACGGGGUCUAGAAGGGUGAUAACGGGCUCCAGAAGGGUGAUGACGGGGUCUAGAAGGAUGAUGACUGGGUCUAGAAGGGUGAUAACGGGCUCCAGAAGGGUGAUGACGGGGUCUAGAAGGGUGAUGACGGGGUCUAGAAGGGUGAUAACGGGCUCCAGAAGGGUGAUGACGGGGUCCAGAAGGGUGAUGACGGGGUCUAGAAGGGUGAUGACGGGGUCUAGAAGGGUGAUAACGGGUGAUAACGUGCUCCAGAAGGGUGAUGACGGGGUCCAGAAGGGUGAUGACGGGGUCUAGAAGGGUGAUAACGGGCUCCAGAAGGGUGAUGACGGGGUCUAGAAGGGUGAUGACGGGGUCCAGAAGGGUGAUGACGGGUGAUGACGGGCUCCAGAAGGGUGAUGACGGGGUCUAGAAGGGUGAUGACGGGGUCCAGAAGGGUGAUGACGGGUGAUGACGGGGUCUAGAAGGGUGAUGACGGGCUCCAGAAGGGUGAUAACGGGCUCCAGAAGGGUGAUGACGGGGUCCAGAAGGGUGAUAACGGGCUCCAGAAGGGUGAUGACGGGGUCCAGAAGGGUGAUGACGGGGUCCAGAAGGGUGAUGACGGGGUCUAGAAGGGUGAUAACGGGCUCCAGAAGGGUGAUGACGGGCUCCAGAAGGGUGAUGACGGGGUCUAGAAGGGUGAUAACGGGCUCCAGAAGGGUGAUGACGGGGUCUAGAAGGGUGAUGACUGGGUCUAGAAGGGUGAUAACGGGCUCCAGAAGGGUGAUGACGGGGUCUAGAAGGGUGAUGACGGGGUCUAGAAGGGUGAUAACGGGCUCCAGAAGGGUGAUGACGGGGUCCAGAAGGGUGAUGACGGGGUCUAGAAGGGUGAUGACGGGGUCUAGAAGGGUGAUAACGGGUGAUAACGGGCUCCAGAAGGGUGAUGACGGGGUCCAGAAGGGUGAUGACGGGGUCUAGAAGGGUGAUAACGGGCUCCAGAAGGGUGAUGACGGGGUCUAGAAGGGUGAUGACGGGGUCCAGAAGGGUGAUGACGGGUGAUGACGGGCUCCAGAAGGGUGAUGACGGGGUCUAGAAGGGUGAUGACGGGGUCCAGAAGGGUGAUGACGGGUGAUGACGGGGUCUAGAAGGGUGAUGACGGGCUCCAGAAGGGUGAUAACGGGCUCCAGAAGGGUGAUGACGGAGUCUAGAAGGGUGAUGACGGGCUCCAGAAGGGUGAUGACGGGGUCUAGAAGGGUGAUG